GACGAACGCUGGCGGCGUGCUUAACACAUGCAAGUCGAACGAUGAAGCCUAGCUUGCUAGGUGGAUUAGUGGCGAACGGGUGAGUAAUACGUGAGUGACCUACCUUUGACUCUGGGAUAAGCCUGGGAAACUGGGUCUAAUACCGGAUACGACCAAUCUCCGCAUGGGGUGUUGGUGGAAAGCGUUAUGGAGUGGUUUUAGAUGGGCUCACGGCCUAUCAGCUUGUUGGUGAGGUAAUGGCUUACCAAGGCGACGACGGGUAGCCGGCCUGAGAGGGUGACCGGCCACACUGGGACUGAGACACGGCCCAGACUCCUACGGGAGGCAGCAGUGGGGAAUAUUGCACAAUGGGCGCAAGCCUGGUGCAGCGACGCCGCGUGAGGGAUGACGGCCUUCGGGUUGUAAACCUCUGUUAGCAUCGAAGAAGCGAAAGUGACGGUAGGUGCAGAGAAAGCGCCGGCUAACUACGUG
rnacentral:rRNA from 1 species